UACGUAGGGUGCGAGCGUUAAUCGGAAUUACUGGGCGUAAAGCGUGCGCAGGCGGUUAUUUAAGUCAGGUGUGAAAGCCCUGGGCUUAACCUAGGAAUUGCGCUUGAGACUGGAUAGCUUGGAGUGCGGCAGAGGGAGGUGGAAUUCCACGUGUAGCAGUGAAAUGCGUAGAGAUGUGGAGGAACACCGAUGGCGAAGGCAGCCUCCUGGCCAAUAACUGACGUCAUGCACGAAAGCGUGGGGAGC
rnacentral:rRNA from 1 species